ACACAUAUCUGAUUUACGAUCUCUGCUUCCUCUGUUUCCCCACUGAGCAACGGAGCUGAUAGGGUGGAGAACGAGGGAACGAAUGCAUGUUUCCUGUGGAACUCUUGGAAGCGCUCCUGGCACUGUAGGAAUGUCUUUGCCUCCACGGCUGGGUGGAGAACACAAAAGACAGCAGUGUUGCAGCGAAGGACACCGAUUGGCCAGCACAUUGGACAUUUACUCAUCACACUGCAUUCCACACGCUACGCGACUGUGCAGUGACACCAGUGCAGCCCCGCAGAAACAAAUCCCGCUGUGAACAUGAGGGAUCUCAGGCAUUGGGCUCUGCUCCAGAAAUGUGCAUAAUGCUGCCUUUAUGAGAAAGACUUCCAGUUAGGAAACCCUUAAAGAGCCCCCAACUACUUGCUUGGUACUGCUUUGUUUUAGAACAAAACCUGUCUGAUCAUUAAGAUUACUGCGGAGGUAAUCGAAAGGAUUAAAGAAAUCUGAGUUUUAAAAGAUAGUUUUGCAAUCUGCAUCAAGCGCAAAGUAAGUGGCAUGGCCUUUAGGAGAUGACCACCCACGACACACAGCAUAGGAACAUCUUGAUUGCAGUUAUUUAAUCAGGAGCCAUAAGGGAUAAUUCAGCUUAGGAACUGCACUGAAAAACUUAAAUUAUGAUGUGCACAACCACUAGGGACAAAAUAAGACAUGUGCCAU